rnacentral:rRNA from 1 species
UACGUAGGUGGCAAGCGUUAUCCGGAAUUAUUGGGCGUAAAGCACGCGCAGGUGGUUUCUUAAGUCUGAUGUGAAAGCCCACGGCUCAACCGUGGAGGGUCAUUGGAAACUGGGAGACUUGAGUGCAGAAGAGGAAAGUGGAAUUCCAUGUGUAGCGGUGAAAUGCGUAGAGAUAUGGAGGAACACCAGUGGCGAAGGCGGCACUCUGGGCCGUGACUGACGCUGAGGAGCGAAAGCGUGGGUAGCAAACAGG